rnacentral:rRNA from 1 species
GAUGAACGCUGGCGGCGUGCUUAACACAUGCAAGUCGAACGGAAAGGCUCCUGCUUGCCGGGGUACUCGAGUGGCGAACGGGUGAGUAACACGUGGGUGAUCUGCCCUGCACUUCGGGAUAAGCCUGGGAAACUGGGUCUAAUACCGGAUAGGACUAUGGCUUGGAUGCCAUUGUGGAAAGUUUUUCGGUGUGGGAUGAGCUCGCGGCCUAUCAGCUUGUUGGUGGGGUAUUGGCCUACCAAGGCGUCGACGGGUAGCCGGCCUGAGAGGAUGUACGGCCCCUUUGGACAUGAGAUACGGCCCAGAGCCCGACGGGAGGGAGGAGUGGGGAAUUUUGCACAAGGGAGGAAGGCCGGGUGCCGCGAGCCCGCGUGGGGGGUAACGGCCUCCGGGUUGUAACCUCCUUUCGCAAGGGAGAAGGCGCUAGUGACGGUACCUGGAGAAGAAGCACCGGCUAACUACGUG